GUCGAACGGAGUUACGAUGAAACCUAGUGAUUCGUAACUUAGUGGCGGACGGGUGAGUAACGCGUGGAUAACCUGCCUUACACUGGGGGAUAACACUUAGAAAUAGGUGCUAAUACCGCAUAAGCGCACAGCUUCGCAUGAAGCAGUGUGAAAAACUCCGGUGGUAUACGAUGGAUCCGCGUCUGAUUAGCUGGUUGGCGGGGUAACAGCCCACCAAGGCGACGAUCAGUAGCCGGCCUGAGAGGGUGAACGGCCACAUUGGGACUGAGACACGGCCCAAACUCCUACGGGAGGCAGCAGUGGGGAAUAUUGCACAAUGGGGGAAACCCUGAUGCAGCGACGCCGCGUGAGUGAAGAAGUAUUUCGGUAUGUAAAGCUCUAUCAGCAGGGAAGAAAAUGACGGUACCUGACUAAGAAGCCCCGGCUAACUACGUGCCAGCAGCCGCGGUAAUACGUAGGGGGCAAGCGUUAUCCGGAUUUACUGGGUGUAAAGGGAGCGUAGACGGCAGCGCAAGUCUGAAGUGAAAUCCCAUGGCUUAACCAUGGAACUGCUUUGGAAACUGUGCAGCUGGAGUGCAGGAGAGGUAAGCGGAAUUCCUAGUGUAGCGGUGAAAUGCGUAGAUAUUAGGAGGAACACCAGUGGCGAAGGCGGCUUACUGG
rnacentral:rRNA from 1 species